rnacentral:sRNA from 1 species
UUUUGUAUUAUUGGGUGACUUUAAUAGC